GUUAAAAAGCUCGUAGUUGGAUCUCGGCGGGCAGGGGGUGGUUCGCUCUUCAGCGCUACUGCCCCGCUUUGCCCGUGUGAUUGGCGGAGGUUUCGGGGUGCUCUUCGUUGAGUGACUCGGAGCGCCGUCAGGUUUACUUUGAAAAAAUUAGAGUGCUCAAAGCAGGCUUUUCACGCUUGAAUAUUCGUGCAUGGAAUAAUGGAAUAGGAACUCGUUUCUAUUUUGUUGGUUUUCGGAAAUCGAGUUAAUGAUUAACAGGGACAAUUGGGGGCAUUAGUAUUCAGACGACAGAGGUGAAAUUCUUGGACCGUCUGAAGACUGACUACUGCGAAAGCAUUUGCCAAGAGUGUUUUCAUUAAUCAAGAACGAAAGUUAGAGGUUCGAAGGCGAUCAGAUACCGCCCUAGUUCUAACCAUAAACGAUGCCAGCUAGCGAUCUGCCGAGUUUUUUUUGUAGGCUCCGCAGGAAGCUUUCGGGAAACCAAAGCUUUUGGGUUCCGGGGGGAGUAUGGUUGCAAAGCUGAAACUUAAAGGAAUUGACGGAAGGGCACCACCAGGAGUGGAGCCUGCGGCUUAAUUUGACUCAACACGGGAAAUCUCACCAGGCCCGGACACUGGAAGGAUUGACAGAUUGAGAGCUCUUUCUCGAUUCGGUGGGUGGUGGUGCAUGGCCGUUCUUAGUUGGUGGAGUGAUUUGUCUGGUUAAUUCCGAUAACGAACGAGACUCUGUCCUGCUAAAUAGUUGGGUCGUCCUUCGUGCGAUCCAAGUUCUUCUUAGAGGGACUGGCUGCGUCUAGCAGCACGAGAUUGAGCAAUAACAGGUCUGUGAUG
rnacentral:rRNA from 1 species